AUUGAACGCUGGCGGCAGGCUUAACACAUGCAAGUCGAGCGGGGGAGGUUGCUUCGGUAACUGACCUAGCGGCGGACGGGUGAGUAAUGCUUAGGAAUCUGCCUAUUAGUGGGGGACAACAUUCCGAAAGGGAUGCUAAUACCGCAUACGCCCUACGGGGGAAAGCAGGGGAUCUUCGGACCUUGCGCUAAUAGAUGAGCCUAAGUCGGAUUAGCUAGUCGGUGGGGUAAAGGCCUACCAAGGCGACGAUCUGUAGCGGGUCUGAGAGGAUGAGCCGCCACACUGGGACUGGGACACGGCCCAGACUCCUACGGGAGGUAGCAGUGGGGAAUAUUGGACAAUGGGGGGAACCCUGAUCCAGCCAUGCCGCGUGUGUGAAGAAGGCCUUUUGGUUGUAAAGCACUUUAAGCGAGGAGGAGGCGCUCUAGGAUAAUACCCUAGAUGCGUGGACGUUACUCGCAGAAUAAGCACCGGCUAACUCUGUGCCAGCCGCCGCAGUAAUAC
rnacentral:rRNA from 1 species